CACCAACCUGUCCCUCCCUGCUGUCACCCUCUGUGUGUGUCCCCCCCGCAGGACACCCCCACCAUGCUCUUCUGGCACGGUCAACCUGACCACUACUGGUCCAGUCCCGGGGAGAUGUACCCCAUCUCCGGCCCUGGGCUGCUCAGGGACCCCCCUGUGCUGCCCUACCUGAAGCAGGAGGAACCCCACGGCAUCUCCACCUCGCAGCCCCCCUGCUCGGCUUUCGAGUACGUGCUCUGCGCCCCCACGUCUCCCGCCGUCCGGCACCACGAGGAGACCCUCACCUACCUCAACCAGGGGCAGUCCUAUGAGAUCCGCAUGAUGGGGAACCCCCGGCUGGACCCCGGUGGGGAGGGGCGGAGGAUGCUCAAGUUCAGUCCCAGCUCAUCCCAGCUCAGCCCUGGUCCAUCCCCAUCUCCCCACGGGGCCAGGGGCCGUGGCCGUGGGCUCAGCCCGUGGCCGUGGCUGGCGGCACAUGGGCCUGAUCCUGCGGCGCAGAGCGUGGUGCGCGUGGUCUUCCACGACCGGCGGCUGCAGUACUCGGAGCAGCAGCAGCUGGAGGGCUGGCGGUGGAGCCGCCCGGGCGAUCGCAUCCUCGACAUCGACAUCCCGCUCUCCGUCGGCAUCCUCGAACCCCAAAUCCACCCCACGCUGCUCAACACGGUGGAAUUCCUCUGGGACCCCUCGAGGCGGACGUCCGUCUUCGUGCAGGUUCACUGCAUCAGCACCGAGUUCACGCUGCGGAAGAAUGGGGGGGAGAAAGGCGUCCCCUUCCGCAUCCAGAUCGACACCUUCGGGGUGGGGGGCAAGGGGGACCCCCCCGAGCACCUCCACUCUGCCAGCUGCCUCGUCAAGGUGUUCAAGCCCAAGGGGGCCGACAGGAAGCAGAAGACGGACCGGGAGAAGGUGGAGAAGCGCCCGGCGCCCGAGCGGGAGAAAUUCCAGCCGGCCUACGAGACCACCGUGCUGGCCGAGUGCGCCCCGUGGCCGGACGUGCUGGGUGCACCCCACAGCCCCCCAGGCACCCCGGGGCUGCUGCCUCCUCACCCCUUCAAGCUGCUGAGCCCAGAGAGGGUGUGCGUGUCACCCGCCUGUGCCGCCGAGAGCCCCGCCGAGAGCACUGGCGAGGCGCUGAGCCCCUGUGCAUCCCCCCUGGAGACGCAGCAGUGGCUGCACAAGCGCCGCUUCUCUGCCUACGCCCGCGUCUUCGCCAACUUCGCAGGCGCCGACCUGCUGAAGCUCUCCCGCAGGGACCUGAUCCGGAUCUGCGGAGCCCCUGACGGCAUCCGCCUCUGCAAUGCGCUGACGGGCAGGUGCCCGCGGCCCCGGCUGACCCUCUACGUGUCGCGGGAACUCGCCGGCGGGGCCGAGGGCGCAGAGGACGGAUGCUCAGGGCUGUACCAGGAGAUGCACCUGGAGGAGCUGACGGUGGCCGAGCUGACCGGGAAGCUGGCGGAGCUGCUGGGGCUGCCCGUGGGCCAGAUCCUGCGGGUGUCCCGGCAGGGACCCUCCGGCAUCCACAUCCUCGUCAGCGAUGUGAUGAUCAGGAACCUUCUGGACGAGACGUGCUUCGUGGUGGCCAUCAGCAAAGUGCACGGCCCGGAGGGGUACCGCCUGGUGCUGCGGUAGGACCCGGCCCCGGAGCUGCGUCACCCCCAGGAAGGGAGAUCUCCCACCGGUGCUGGAGCGAGCUGUGCGAGGAUGGAGAGAGGAGCCCGAGGCUUGCACCAUCCCUGAGAGCCCGUCCUCCAAACACGGUUCACCCUCCCUGCACCCCUGCCAGCCUCGCCCGGCCCCUCCUGCAGAGGGAUCUCUCUAUACAUCUAUAUCAUAAUCGAGGGAGCGUAUGACAAGGUUCCAGCUCGUGCGUCCAGUACCUCAGACUGAACAGACACCGUGAACCCACCCGAGUUUAAAAACGCGUUAAAAAAUAGCGAGGCGGCCAGGCCUGUCCCGCGAUGGGGGGGGUCCGCGGGCACGACUGCCCCACGGGUCCCGCACCGGCUGCGCCAAGCAGCGAGAUGGGAAAGGAGCCGGAGGAGGAGAACAUCGAGCACUCGGGGUUUGCAUAGAGGAGGGGAACAACCCCGGCCGGGCAGACGCUGGGUCAGCAGCUGGGGGCUGUGGCCAGCAGGGAAAACCCAGGUGAGCUGGGAUGCACCUCGAGGGAUGGAGGAAGGUCGGUCGGUCAGUCGGUGGCUGCAGCGUGAAGAGCCCCGGGGAAAGGCGGGGUGCUGGGGGUGCUGGCAGAGGGGGGCAUUUCUAUGGCCCCCCCCAGGGUAGGGCAGGGGGUGGCACAGCCCAGCCCCGGGGUCUCACCGGCUGGCGGGAGCAAGGGAUGCGUUUCCUCGUCUCUUAAAAAACCCCCAAACCCCAAACCUCUGCCCAUCUCCGUGCCAGAUGAGCCAGGCAGCCGGUACGUGCGAGCUGCCGGCACGGAGAGCACGUACCGCCGGGGCAGCCGAGCUCGGCUCGGAGCCGCAGGGGACCGGACGGGGUGUCACCGGUGCUGGGGUGCUGCGACAGCCCCUCUGUACAGGAGGGUGCGAGGGGCCGGGAAGGCACGGAGCGAAGCUGUGAGGGGAAGGGGAAAAUGACUUUCCCCCCCCCCGCCACCCCAUUUUUUCGGCCCCCUGGAACUCCCUGAGCUGCAGCACAGGGACCUCAGCACCCAUGAGUGGAGCUGGGUGCCCCCCUCAGACUUUUUUGGAAAGCAAAGCAGGAAAAAACCCCAUGCCAGAAACAACAGCCCCAACCAGGCAAUCCUUCCUCAGAAGGGGACAAGAUGUUUGAAAUCUCAUUUUGGGGGCACGCACCCCUCCCCCAGAACACUGUAGUGAAGAACCUUGUCAUACUCAUCUCCCAUCCACCCCCCACCCCACCAAAAAAAAAAAAAAAACCAAACCCAAAACUAACCCAAAUACCAUGACACCAUGGGCCAGCCAUGAACAACAGAGUAAAAUGGAAAAAAAAAAAAAAAAAAAGGAAAUUACAAUGAUGAUUAGAAAAUGGGAAUUUGUUAAAGUUCGUUUUAAAUAACCACUGCGACAGCAGGUUACACUUGCCCCAUCCUCAGCAGCAGCCACCACAGAACGGGGAUAAAGUGCUGCCAUGUCUCUCCAAAGACCGGAAAAGCCCAAUUUUGGGUUGCAUUAGAUCUUCCCACGCCACCUCCCAGCAGGUCUCGGGCUAUUUUGCCGGAGAGGUCCCCUCGUCCCUGCACCCGCAGGUCCAGGAGCAGGUCGGGGCCAGGGCAGCGCCGCGGGGCUGGGGACAGGUCCAGGUUACGGCAAAAACCGGCUUUUUUGGGGUGGAAACACAGAGUCUGGCCUCUGCUCUGCGGACAUGACUUCGACAGAGGCGGCCCAGGGCUCGGGGCGCACGCGGGGUUUCAAGGGAGGGCAAGGAAAGGGCCGACGUUUGGAGAACAGCUCGCGGUCUCACAUCAAGGACCCGAUCUGCCUCGUCCAGCUGCUCCGGUUCCAAAGCUGGACAAGAUGCGUUUGGCACAAGUAGGGAGCUCGCAAAACGAUUUUUCACCAUUUUCCAUCACUUACCCCCCAAAAUGACAGUACAGAGAUGUUCAUCUAUAAAUGACGGACCUGAAUGUCGGUGCUUGGUGCGCUCCGCAGCCACCAGCCCAAACCCAGGGCCAGCGCCCGACCCAGCACCCAGCUCGGGA